UACGGAGGGUGCAAGCGUUAUCCGGAUUCACUGGGUUUAAAGGGUGCGUAGGUGGGUCUGUAAGUCAGUGGUGAAAUCUCCAAGCUUAACUUGGAAACUGCCGUUGAUACUAUAGACCUUGAAUGCUGUGGAGGUGAGCGGAAUAUGUCAUGUAGCGGUGAAAUGCUUAGAUAUGACAUAGAACACCAAUUGCGAAGGCAGCUCACUACCCAGAUAUUGACACUGAGGCACGAAAGCGUGGGGAGCAAACAGG
rnacentral:rRNA from 1 species